AACGAACGCUGGCGGCGUGCUUAAGACAUGCAAGUCGAACGGUAAGGCACCUUCGGGUGUACACGAGUGGCGCACGGGUGAGUAACGCGUGGGUAAUCUACCAUCGGGUUUGGGACAACUCCGGGAAACUGGAGCUAAUACCGAAUAAGACCACGAGGUCCUCGGGCCUAGUGGAAAAAGGUGGCCUCUUCUUGAAAGCUAUCGCCUGUUGAUGAGCCCGCGUACCAUUAGCUUGUUGGUGAGGUAAAGGCUCACCAAGGCUUCGAUGGUUAGCUGGUCUGAGAGGAUGAUCAGCCACACUGGAGCUGAGACACGGUCCAG
rnacentral:rRNA from 1 species